rnacentral:rRNA from 1 species
GAUGAACGCUGGCUACAGGCUUAACACAUGCAAGUCGAGGGGAAACGACGGGGAAGCUUGCUUCCCCGGGCGUCGACCGGCGCACGGGUGAGUAACGCGUAUCCAACCUGCCUCUGACUGAGGGAUAACCCGUCGAAAGUCGGCCUAAUACCUCAUGGUAUCGUCUGCGGGCAUCCAACGACGAUUAAAGAUUUCAUCGGUCAGGGAUGGGGAUGCGUCUGAUUAGCUUGUUGGCGGGGUAACGGCCCACCAAGGCUACGAUCAGUAGGGGUUCUGAGAGGAAGGUCCCCCACAUUGGAGCUGAGACACGGUCCAAACUCGUACGGGAGGCAGCAGUGAGGAAUAUUAGGCAAUGGGCGAGAGCCUGAACCAGCCAAGUAGCGUGCAGGAAGACGGCCCUAGGGGUUGUAAACUGCUUUUAGGCGGGGAUAAAGUGAGGGACGUGUCCCUCAUUGCAGGUACCGCAUGAAUAAGGACCGGCUAAUUCCGUG